rnacentral:rRNA from 1 species
UACAGAGGGUGCGAGCGUUAAUCGGAAUUACUGGGCGUAAAGCGUGCGUAGGCGGUUAUUUAAGUCGGAUGUGAAAGCCCCGGGCUCAACCUGGGAAUUGCAUUCGAGACUGAAUAGCUAGGGUACGGUAGAGGGAAGUGGAAUUUCCGGUGUAGCGGUGAAAUGCGUAGAUAUCGGAAGGAACAGCAGUGGCGAAAGCGACUUCCUGGACCAGUACCGACGUUCAGGCACGAAAGCGUGGGGAGCAAACAGG